rnacentral:rRNA from 1 species
UUAGUUGGUGGAGUGAUUUGUCUGGUUAAUUCCGUUAACGAACGAGACCUCGACCUGCUAAAUAGCUUGCCCGUGUUUACACGAGGUAUUAGCUUCUUAGAGGGACUUUGGCUUUGAAGGCUACAGGAAGUUCGAGGCAAUAACAGGU